CUGGCUCAAUGGCAGAGCGUCUGACUACGAAUCAGGAGGUUCCAGGUUCGACCCCUGGGUGGA
rnacentral:tRNA from 1 species